rnacentral:rRNA from 1 species
UGGGGAAUUUUGGACAAUGGGCGAAAGCCUGAUCCAGCCAUGCCGCGUGAGUGAAGAAGGCCUUCGGGUUGUAAAGCUCUUUUAGUCGGAAAGAAAGAGUUGCAAUGAAUAAUUGUGAUUUAUGACGGUACCGACAGAAAAAGCACCGGCUAACUACGUGCCAGCAGCCGCGGUAAUACGUAGGGUGCGAGCGUUAAUCGGAAUUACUGGGCGUAAAGGGUGCGCAGGCGGUCUUGCAAGUCAGAUGUGAAAGCCCCGGGCUUAACCUGGGAAUUGCGGUUGAAACUACAAGACUAGAGUGCAGCAGAGGGGAGUGGAAUUCCAUGUGUAGCAGUGAAAUGCGUAGAGAUGUGGAAGAACACCGAUGGCGAAGGCAGCUCCCUGGGUUGACACUGACGCUCAUGCACGAAAGCGUGGGGAGCAAACA